UUGUCGUUGUUGUCGGCCGCAAGUUUCUCUGCUAUUCGGCCGUUAAGCAAGUCCGAUUUUCGUGAGCAUCCGGACAGCACUGGUGCGCGGACACCGAUAUUCUUUAUUCAGUGAGAUAAUCGAAAUCACUUCGAGACAAUCAGUUCUAGAUGCGCUCCCAUCUGCUAUUGAUUCUGUUCUUCGCGAGCACCGUUUCAGCACGUGCUCGCGAUGGAAAGGAUAUCAACGAGAACGCGUUAAGUCUUCUAGCUGAUUCUAUAAAUGAAGCUAAUCGUGAAAAUAUAAAAAGGGAAGUUAGCAAUAAUGAUGACCCCUUGCAAAGUUUCUUGAAGAGUAUUGUGUCAAUGAUACUAAAUAUUCCAAAAAAUAUAUUGACAAUAUUCAGCUCAAUUAUGAAAUUUGUAUCGAGCAUUUUAUCAAUCGUGCCUAAGGAAAUUUGGAGCCUAAUAAAGAAAAUCUUAGGUGAUAUUUUCCGUUUUAAUUGAUUUUCCAUUUGAUUCGAUAUUCUCUUGAACUGCCAAUACCAAAAGUAUUUAUCACAUCCUGGCGGUACAAUUUUCUGGCAAUUUCAAUGGCAGAUCAAUUCUCUCUACUUACGAGACUAUCUAAUAAAUACUGGUUAAGAGGACCCAUGGAUCAUACAUCGCUUACGAUUAAACGUUGCAAUGAAGAACGGCGAUAAUUAUUAACUGGCAGAGUUGAACGUUCGUUAGAAGUCGCGCGAUAUCAAUCGUCGGAGGUUAAAAAUCAUCGGAGAACAAAUACGUACACAUACAUACAUAUAUAUUGCUCAAUCUAGACUAUGGAGAAGAAAGCUUAUAGAUCCGUCGAUUAAAUAAUAUCUAUCGUAGUACUUUUGGUACACGGCGGAAAUUUUUUGGUCAACUGCA